GCGAGCGUGGCGGAACUGGCAGACGCGCAGGACUUAGGAUCCUGUGGGGAAACCCGUGUGGGUUCGAGUCCCACCGUUCGCA
rnacentral:tRNA from 2 species